rnacentral:rRNA from 1 species
GAUGAACGCUGGCGGCGUGCCUAAUACAUGCAAGUCGAGCGAACAGACGAGGAGCUUGCUCCUCUGACGUUAGCGGCGGACGGGUGAGUAAAACGUGGAUAACCUACCUAUAAGACUGGGAUAACUUCGGGAAACCGGAGCUAAUACCGGAUAAUAUAUUGAACCGCAUGGUUCAAUAGUGAAAGACGGUUUUGCUGUCACUUAUAGAUGGAUCCGCGCCGCAUUAGCUAGUUGGUAAGGUAACGGCUUACUAAGGCGACGAUGCGUAGCCGACCUGAGAGGGUGAUCGGCCACACUGGAACUGAGACACGGUCCAGACUCCUACGGGAGGCAGCAGUAGGGAAUCUUCCGCAAUGGGCGAAAGCCUGACGGAGCAACGCCGCGUGAGUGAUGAAGGUCUUCGGAUCGUAAAACUCUGUUAUUAGGGAAGAACAAAUGUGUAAGUAACUAUGCACGUCUUGACGGUACCUAAUCAGAAAGCCACGGCUAACUACGUG